rnacentral:rRNA from 1 species
AUCUGGGCGGCGAAAUUCAGAAUGGCUGGCGGGCUUCGCGCACGUCCGGCCGUUUGAUAUUUUCGUCGCCGUGCAGACGUCGCGACCUGUUUGUCGUCGGUCCCUGCUUCGAGGAGUCGCGAUCGAGUUCGUUGUGGCGCGUUUCGGCGCGUCUCACGGCGAAGACGUGAAUCUCUGGCUGACGACGGACAGUAAGCAAUGGUGGCUGACGUCGUGUCUUGUACGCGGUGUCGGCGCCGGUCAGCGACGAUUUCUUCGGGCCUCUUUCCGACCCGUCUUGAAACACGGACCAAGGAGUCUAACAUGCGCGCGAGUCGCGGGGUAUCGAGCGUACUACGGUACGCUCGUCAUCUCACGAAACCCGUACGUUGAAGGCGUAAUGAAAGUGAACAGGGAAGAUGGUGUUCCGAGUAUACGAACCGUGGUCUAGUAUCGCGGCCGGACGCCCGCAUUCCCGGGGCGUCUCAAUGGCUCGUCGCGGAUGCGGACGGUCGUCUUUCGGGGCGAUCGUCGGUCUGCGACGGUCCGA